rnacentral:rRNA from 1 species
UACGUAGGGGGCAAGCGUUGUCCGGAUUUAUUGGGCGUAAAGAGCGUGUAGGCGGCCACACAGGUCAGCUGUGAAAACUUGAGGCUCAACCUCGAGACGUCGGUUGAAACCGUAUGGCUAGAGUCCGGAAGAGGAGAGUGGAAUUCCCGGGUGUAGCGGUGAAAUGACGCAGAGUAUCGGGAAGAACACCCGUGGCGAAGGCGGCUCUCUGGGACGGUACUGACGCUGAGACGCGAAAGCGUGGGGAGCGAACGAGG